rnacentral:tRNA from 1 species
AAGGAGUUAGUUAAAAUAAUAACGUUAGAGUGUCAAUCUAAAAUAACUAAAAAUUAGUACACCUUG